rnacentral:rRNA from 1 species
AACGAACGCGUGGCGGCAGUGGAUUAGGCAUGACAAGUCGACGAAGCAGCAAUGCUUAGUGGCGCAAGGGUGAGGAACACGUGAGUGACCUACUCGCAAGUUUUGGAACAGCUCCUGGAAACGGGAAUUAAUACCGGAUGUGAUCGAUGAACUGCAUGGUUUAUUGAUUAAAGCAGCAAUGCGCUUGCGGAUGGGCUCGCGUCCCAUUAGCUAGUUGGUGAGGUAACGGCCCACCAAGGCCAUGAUGGGUAGCUGGUCUGAGAGGACGACCAGCCACACUGGGACUGAGAACUGCCCAGACUCCUACGGGAGGCUGCAGUCGAGAAUUUUGGGCAAUGGACGAAAGUCUGACCCAGCAAUGCCGCGUGCGGGAUGAAGGUCUUCGGAUUGUAAACCGCUGUUUGGAGGGACGAAAAUUGACGGUACUUCCAGAGGAAGCCACGGCUAACUACGUGCCAGCCGCUGC